GGCCGCUGUCCUCGUAAUCCGGCAUGUCGUGAGCCUAUAAUCCGGCUUGCUCGAAGCUCGGGGAGGUUGAGAGCAAAAGCGGGAGGGAAGACGGCGACACGUGUCGGCGACAGUGAGAGGCGGGCUGGGGAUCGGCGCACGGAAAUAGCCCACCAAUCCCGGGGCGGGCACGGCAAGCGUAGCGAGGCAAAAGAGGAAGGCGUUUGAAAGAAGGCAAAAAGGAUGAGGAAAAGGUGAAAUCGCAGCAGAGGAGACCAGCGAGGAGAUGAGCGAGGAGGAGGCGAGAAGACCCGUCAGAUGAGGAGGAGGCCUCCUCGCCCGCCGGCAGCCGCGAACUCGCGUUUCGACAUCGGAAGCAUGAGGACGUCGAGGAAGGCGAGCGUGGAGAUGCCCGCCUUCGUGCGCCAGCUGGUCAAAGAGACGGAGAAGAGGGUCAGCUCUUUCUUCAAGGGGGGCCGGGCAGGAGCGGCCGACGUGGACGAGGACGCGGUGCUUCCCGGCCCCUACCUGGACCGGCCGGUGUUGGACAAACUGGCGGAGGAGGGCUGCGCCCGCUGGGGUCUCACCUACGCCCUGGGCAGCAUGCAAGGCUGGAGGGCCCACAUGGAGGACUACCACAACUGCGUGCCUCAGCUGGGGGGGCGGCUGGCCGACUGGAGCUUCUUCGCCGUGUUCGACGGCCACGCGGGCAGCGCCGUGGCGCGGCACUGCUCGCGGCACCUUCUGGGGCACAUCCUGGCCUCAGGGGGCCUGGGGCCCGAGGACGACCCCGACGGGGUGAAAGGGGCCCUGGCGGAAGGCUUCCUGCAAACGGACAAGCAUCUCCACGCCGUGGCCCGCCGAGAAGGAUGGGAGCGAGGCGGCACCACCGUGGUGGCCGCCCUCGUUUCGCCCCGCAACAUCUACUUGGCCAACUGCGGGGACUCCAGGGCCGUGCUGUGUCGCUCGGGUCAGGUCCGCUUCUCCACCGAGGACCACAAACCGUACAGCCCUCAGGAGAAAGAGCGCAUCGAGAGCGCCGGAGGAUCCGUGUCCCUGCAACGUAUCAACGGCUCGUUGGCGGUCUCCCGAGCCCUGGGCGACUUCGGCUACAAGCGGGCGGAGAACAGGUCGCCCGGCGAGCAGAUGGUCUCGCCCGAGCCGGAGGUGCGCGCGCUGGAGCGCUCGCCGGCCGACGAGUUCCUGGUGCUGGCCUGCGACGGCGUGUGGGACGCCGUCGGCAACGAGGAGCUUUGCGCCUUCGUCCGCAACCGCCUGCUGGUGUGCGCCGACCUGAGGGACGUCUGCUCGCAGGUCAUCGACCUCUGCCUCUACAAGGGCAGCCUCGACAACAUCAGCAUCAUCCUGCUGUGCUUCCCUGGCGCCCCCCAGCUGUCCGCGGAGGCGUUACACCAGGAGGCCGAGCUGGAGGAUCUGCUGGAGUCCAAAGUCGCGGAGAUUUAUGAGGAGCUGCGUGGCAGAGGGGAGGAUCCCGAUUUGCUGGCGGUCCUGGCAGUCCUCGCUUCCGCCGCCAUCCCGGGAUUACCACCAGGGGGCGGCAUACACAGCAAUUUGGAUGGAGAAUUUUUGAAUGCAGGAAGCUGGCACAGGAUGACGUAUUCGCCACGAAUCUUUCUUGUCGCCGACACCAUCCAACCUUUUCCUUCAUUCCGGCCGUGCGUGGGGAAUAUCUUGCUUCUCUGAAUAUUCCCCGUCAUUGUCAUAAUUGCCCACGUUCCUCCAUGUCGCCGCUGCCCGUGUUUCUUCCGCCUCAGAAGUCCCCAAGGUGUCAGUCAAUCAUUCAAUCAAUCAAUCACCCAAUCGACCGAUAAAUCAAGUUCCGGACCGCAGUUGACUUUAGCUCUCUCUCUCUGCUUCUUUUUGAAGUCACGUCGACGUCGACGUGACUUAAAAUGUUGCAAAGAAAACCCCAAAACUAAUGAGCUUAUUUUGUCAAAGUAGAAAGUACAAAUAUGUCUUAAAUGUAGGGAGUAUAAGCAAAAAGUCCUCAGAAAAAUAAAUACAGUACCUGAAAAAUGUCAUUAUGUACAGUAACGAAUGUUGGGGUGAAGGUCAAGUUGAGGUCAAGUGUGUGUGUGUGUGUGUGUGUGUGUGUUACAGAAGGAACUGCAUCAUCUCUGCUUACUACCAACAGAGAGACACGCACAAUCCUGCGCGACCAAAUGGAACGGAAGGCUCGUGAGGAGGCCGAGUGGGUUGCGACCACGAAGGGAUUGUAAUUCAUGUCUGCAGUAACACUUUUAUUCAUGUUUCCAAAUGGACAAAAAAGGGAGUUAGUCAACAGUGUUGGUUUACAGCGUUCUAGCGAGCAGCACCUUGUCGUAACAAAUACAAUGCAAAAGUAGGUCGAGUAAAGCCUGAUACAGUCUAUAUUUGUACAAUUAUCCAUCUAUCUGUCUAUCUGUAUACACUGUGUAUGACAUUUUGUAAGACUUACUCAGCGACACUGACCCAGAAACAAACUUCUGCCUCAUAUUCAGUGAACUUGAAGACACAAAUAAUAAGCCUGUAAAACUGCGAAAUAAUACAUUUCCAACAUGAGUGUAUGAGAAUGUGAGAAUUUGUAGGAGUGUAGCCAAAUGUGUAUUUGAGGAGAAUAUGACUGAUACAGCUACGCUAGGCUAAGCUUAGCAUACAGCUAAUGUCCAUUUGUUCCAGCGGGAUAUGCGAACAGUGCUAUCUUGUUAGCGGUUGGAAAUGCACAAAAGGUCCCUUGUGCUGCAUUGUUGGCUAGCGAAUAAACUCAUCUCAUAAUGUGAAGGGGGGGAAAAACACAUUUCACAGAUAAUACUUUGUCAAUAAAAUGAAAAGAAAUGUGUUUUUUUUUAUUAUAUAUAUAUAUAUAUAUAUACAAGUCGUAAUAUAAUCAUCAUUAUUAAUACGUUUGAGAAGAACAAAUAUCAAGAAAAUGACACACACACAAAAUAAAAAUUCAAAAUGACAUUGAGUUGGAUUCUUAACGUUCUCAAUGAAACCUGCCUG